rnacentral:rRNA from 1 species
GAACUGCGGAAGGAUCAUU